UCGGAUCGUUUUAGAAACAUCAGUGGCCAACAGAUCGCCAGAUCGUUGAGCUGCAUUGGCGGGAUUUCGCCGUCUUCGUUUCUCUUUCUUCGCGGACGAACACGCGCUGGGCCUGCAACGGCAGGAUCCAGGGUCCUUAACGGGAUGUGCGUUAGGGGCUUGUAGCUCAGUUGGUUAGAGCGCGCGCUUGAUAAGCGUGAGGUCGGAAGUUCAAGUCUUCCCAGGCCCACCACUUUCAUCGAGUGAGCAUUCGUCUUCUGGUUACGGGGCCAUAGCUCAGCUGGGAGAGCGCGUGCUUUGCAAGCAUGAGGUCGUCGGUUCGAUCCCGUCUGGCUCCACCAGAUGGUUUGAUCACCGAGAUCUUGACCGUCGUCCGCGAAACAUCACUUCGCAUCCUGCUAGUCUGGAUAGACAGCAGUUUGCGUGUUUUCUGACAUCGUAAAGAGGAGAUCGAUCCGAGUUGGGUCGUGCAGCAUAUCGUUGCGCGAGCCUUCAUUAUCUCCGGAUCAUUUCGGCGCUCGCUUCCAGCCGUGAGGUUGGAUGCGGGUUGUAAAUGAUCCUUUUAGCGAAGCUUGACCGCCUCGCUAUCGGAACGAUCUUACGAAGCAAGCUGGUCUUUCUAGUCAAUGUCCGGCUGCAGAUAGCGUUCAUCGAGGGCGCGUGCCGCAAGGCAAUUCUGCAGACAACAUUCUGCCGAGUGUGUGGACAUUGAUAAUGAGAGCAAUCAAGUGCCUUAAGGGUGUUCGGUGGAUGCCUUGGCGCUGAGAGGCGAUGAAGGACGUGCUACGCUGCGAUAAGCCGUGGGGAGCUGCGAAGAAGCUUUGAUCCGCGGAUUUCCGAAUGGGGGAAAACC
rnacentral:misc_RNA from 1 species